rnacentral:rRNA from 1 species
CGUGGGUAACCUGCCCAAGAGAUCGGGAUAACACCUGGAAACAGAUGCUAAUACCGGAUAACAACAGAUGAUGCCUAUCAACUGUUUAAAAGAUGGUUCUGCUAUCACUCUUGGAUGGACCUGCGGUGCAUUAGCUAGUUGGUAGGGUAACGGCCUACCAAGGCGAUGAUGCAUAGCCGAGUUGAGAGACUGAUCGGCCACAUUGGGACUGAGACACGGCCCAAACUCCUACGGGGAGGCAGCAGGG